CAGGGAGACAACAAAAUGUUUAAUAUUAUUAUUUUGUCACCUUAGGUCGAUCGGUAUCUCACGUUUUUAAUUUAUUAAGAAUUUCAUUUCCUAAGUUUUUCUAGGUCACACCCAUUAUUUUUCCUGGGCCAUUAGCUCAGGUGGUUAGAGCGCACCCCUGAUAAGGGUGAGGUCCCUGGUUCAAGUCCAGGAUGGCCCAUAUCUCUAUGUUGGGGGUAUAGCUCAGUUGGUAGAGCGCCUGCUUUGCAAGCAGGAUGUCAGCGGUUCGAGUCCGCUUACCUCCACUGAUUACCACCUCUUCCAUAAUUUAUAGAAGGGAGAUUUUUUGAGUUGUGAUCAAAUUCUGAACGAAUCUAGCUUCCUAAUAAUCUUAAUUAAGAUGCUGGACUCAUUGAAUUAUUUUUCAUUGUUUUCAGAGAACCUUGACAACUGCAUAGAUUAUUUUUAAAGACAAUAAGCAUCUUUAAUGAUGCAGAUUUAUUAUUUGUGCGAAUGCAUUAAAUAACAAUUCUAUUAAGCUGAUGCUUCAAAUUUUUGAAGUUAUU
rnacentral:tRNA from 1 species